rnacentral:lncRNA from 1 species
UUUAAUUCAAAAUAACACAUAACUUGAAAUAUGAUAAAAGGUUAUGGAUGCUAAUAAAAGAUAGUGAUGUUCUAGCUAACGUGUAAGUAACAUUGUUGACUUGCUUUCUUAUAAAAGUCACCAAUGAAUUUGAAACAUUGUAUAAAACCUCACUACACUUAGAAAAAAUGAUUUGCAGAUCUGUAUUUUUUGUUAUUACAACCCAUUAAACCAUCCACCAGUGACUUACAAUCAACUUCAAUGAUAAUACUAUGAUAACCCGGUUCUUGAACCCAAAGACCUUGUAAUAAUGCCCACUCUUCUGCUUCUUUCAGAUGAGGUACUCGAUAAUUCCACUGAGUUCUUGCCUUUAUUAAUCUCCCAUGAUCAUCACGUAUGCACAUGCCAAAACCAAAGCAAAGCUGAUUUCAAAAAAUUGCAACAUCAAUAUUGUGUUUGAGCGAACCUGUUUCAGGAGGUGUCCAACUGUGAUUAGCUUGAUGUUGAGCUUGAUUUGAAUUCUGAGCAAUAUCUUCUCUAGCUUGCUUCCAUUCCAAUAAGUACUGAGUGGUAUCAGAAAUAGACAUAUGAGUUGGAAGCUCUAGAGAUUCCCAUAUUUUAUAUGGUUCCUCCUUGUCCAUAUUGUCCAUAAAAUAACAGCUAGCUAGCUGCUCCUUAUGCUAGGGUUGAAGAUAAGACAGAAGAUCAAACAACAGCUCUUUGAUGCCCUCUGCUGCUUUAGCCUUAUGCUGAAUUUUGGACCAAAUAAUGUCCUAAGUGUUUGUCCAUGUGGCAUUUACAUAAGCAAGGGACUAAAAUAAAAUUAUUAAGAUGUAUCUUUUUCUUCUUUAUCUAUUUUUCUUUCUUCAAUUCAAGGGACUAAAAUAAAAUUAUUGAGCUUUGGGCAAUUUUGCUUGGAAUUAAAAUUGCUUGGAGUCGAGGAUCUUGUUCAGUUGCUUGGAUUUUUGUGAAUCUGAUUCUCGGGUUUCUAUAUCUUACUAAACAGUGAAUGUCCUUCCUACCAUCCUUGUUUUAGUAUGAUCCAAGAUAUUAAGGACUAUGCCUUGCAGGGAGGUUCUUUGAAGUGGAAUCAUACAUUGCGAGAAGGGAACAAGUUACGGAUGUGUUGUCUAAUUAUAUGAUGAUUUAUCCCUAAAUAGAGACAAUUAAGAAUAUUUGAUAGAGUUCCUCAUUUUAUUUCUCUUGCUGCCAAUGCUGAUGUAAUAUCUACUGGGUUUUCACGCAAUUUUCAGUUUUGG